rnacentral:rRNA from 1 species
UACGUAGGGUGCGAGCGUUGUCCGGAAUUACUGGGCGUAAAGAGCUCGUAGGUGGUUUGUCGCGUUGUUCGUGAAAACUCACAGCUCAACUGUGGGCGUGCGGGCGAUACGGGCAGACUGGAGUACUGCAGGGGAGACUGGAAUUCCUGGUGUAGCGGUGGAAUGCGCAGAUAUCAGGAGGAACACCGGUGGCGAAGGCGGGUCUCUGGGCAGUAACUGACGCUAAGGAGCGAAAGCGUGGGGAGCGAACAGG